rnacentral:rRNA from 1 species
UACGGGGGGGGCAAGCGUUGUUCGGAAUUACUGGGCGUAAAGGGCUCGUAGGCGGCCAACUAAGUCAGACGUGAAAUCCCCAGGCUUAACCUGGGAACUGCAUCCGAUACUGGAUGGCUUGAAUCCGGGAGAGGGAUGCAGAAUUCCAGGUGUAGCGGUGAAAUGCGUAGAUAUCUGGAGGAAUACCGGUGGCGAAGGCGGGUCUCUGGGCCGAAAUUGGCGCUGAGGAGCGAAAGCGUGGGGAGCAAACAGG